rnacentral:rRNA from 1 species
CUACGGGAGGCAGCAGUAGGGAAUCUUCCACAAUGGGCGAAAGCCUGAUGGAGCAACGCCGCGUGAGUGAAGAAGGAUUUCGGUUCGUAAAACUCUGUUGUAAGGGAAGAACAAGUACAGUAGUAACUGGCUGUACCUUGACGGUACCUUAUUAGAAAGCCACGGCUAACUACGUGCCAGCAGCCGCGGUAAUACGUAGGUGGCAAGCGUUGUCCGGAAUUAUUGGGCGUAAAGCGCGCGCAGGUGGUUUCUUAAGUCUGAUGUGAAAGCCCACGGCUCAACCGUGGAGGGUCAUUGGAAACUGGGAGACUUGAGUGCAGAAGAGGAUAGUGGAAUUCUAAGUGUAGCGGUGAAAUGCGUAGAGAUUUGGAGGAACACCAGUGGCGAAGGCGACUAUCUGGUCUGUAACUGACACUGAGGCGCGAAAGCGUGGGGAGCAAACAGGAUUAGAUACCCUGGUAGUCCACGCCGUAAACGAUGAGUGCUAAGUGUUAGGGGGUUUCCGCCCCUUAGUGCUGCAGCUAACGCAUUAAGCACUCCGCCUGGGGAGUACGGUCGCAAGACUGAAACUCAAAGGAAUUGACG